CAAAGGCUUGGUCCUGACUUUUCUAUCAAUUUUAACUAGACUUACACAUGCAAGUAUCCGCACCCCAGUGAAGAUGCCCAUAGUUCCCCGCCCGGGAACGAGGAGCUGGUAUCAGGCACACUCUCGGUAGCCCAUAACACCUUGCUUUAGCCACACCCCCACGGGGAAUUCCAGCAGUGAUAAACAUUAAGCCAUAAGUGAAAGCUUGACUUAAUUAAAGUUAAAUAGGGCCGGUAAAUCUCGUGCCAGCCACCGCGGUUAAACGGGAGGCUCAAGUUGAUAGACAUCGGCGUAAAGCGUGGUUAGGGGCCCAACUUUAACACUAAAGCCGAACGCUCUUAGAACAGUUAUACGCACUGAGAGUAAGAAGAUCAAUUACGAAAGUAGCUUUAUUCAAACCUGACUCCACGAAAGCUAAGGCACAAACUGGGAUUAGAUACCCCACUAUGCUUAGCCCUAAACAUAGACAGUUGUUUACCCCCACUGUCCGCCCGGGUACUACGAGCAUUAGUUUGAAACCCAAAGGACUUGGCGGUGCUUUAGACCCACCUAGAGGAGCCUGUCCUAGAACCGAUAAUCCCCGUUCAACCUCACCCUUCCUAGCCCUUAUCAGCCUAUAUACCGCCGUCGCCAGCUUACCCUAUGAAGGCACUAAAGUAAGCAUAAUUGGCAUUGCCCAAAACGUCAGGUCGAGGUGUAGCCUAUGGAAGGGGAAGAGAUGGGCUACAUUCCCUACCUCAGGGAACACGAACGGCACACUGAAAUGUGUGCACUGAAGGAGGAUUUAGUAGUAAGCAGAAAGUAGAGUGUCCUGCUGAACUCGGCCCUGAAGCGCGUACACACCGCCCGUCACUCUCCCCAAGUUCUACCUAUUAAACAUAACUAAUACGCUAAAAUUUGCAAAGGGGAGGUAAGUCGUAACAUGGUAAGCGUACCGGAAGGUGUGCUUGGAUAAU
rnacentral:ncRNA from 1 species